GAUGAACGCUGGCGGCGUGCCUAAUACAUGCAAGUCGAGCGAACGGACGAGAAGCUUGCUUCUCUGAUGUUAGCGGCGGACGGGUGAGUAACACGUGGAUAACCUACCUAUAAGACUGGGAUAACUUCGGGAAACCGGAGCUAAUACCGGAUAAUAUUUUGAACCGCAUGGUUCAAAAGUGAAAGACGGUCUUGCUGUCACUUAUAGAUGGAUCCGCGCUGCAUUAGCUAGUUGGUAAGGUAACGGCUUACCAAGGCAACGAUGCAUAGCCGACCUGAGAGGAUGAUCGGCCACACUGGAACUGAGACACGGUCCAGACUCCUACGGGAGGCAGCAGUGGGGAAUCUUCCGCAAUGGGCGAAAGCCUGACGGAGCAACGCCGCGUGAGUGAUGAAGGUCUUCGGAUCGUAAAACUCUGUUAUUAGGGAAGAACAUAUGUGUAAGUAACUGUGCACAUCUUGACGGUACCUAAUCAGAAAGCCACGGCUAACUACGUG
rnacentral:rRNA from 1 species